rnacentral:tRNA from 1 species
GGCGCGUUCGUCUAGUGGUCUAGGACGCUGGCCUCUCACGCCGGUAACAUGGGUUCGAGUCCCAUACGCGCUA